UACGGAGGGUGCGAGCGUUACUCGGAAUUACUGGGCGUAAAGGGUUCGUAGGUUGUUUGCCAAGUUAUCUGUGAAAUCCCUGGGCUUAACCUGGGAAGGUCAGAUAAAACUGGUGAACUCGAGUAUUGGAGAGGGUAGUGGAAUUUCCGGUGUAGCGGUGAAAUGCGUAGAGAUCGGAAGGAACACCAGUGGCGAAGGCGGCUACCUGGCCAGAUACUGACACUGAGGAACGAAAGCGUGGGGAGCAAACAGG
rnacentral:rRNA from 1 species